GGAGGCGGGCCAAGGUCACGGAGGGUCCAGGGCCUGCCCAGCCACAGGAGACCCGGCAAAGCCACGUGCGCACGUGGACCCUAGGAUGGGCCUCCCCAGCGCAGCUCAGGGCACCGCCGGCCAGCGCCAGCACCCGUGACGUGAGCUGGAGAAGACCGGGCAGGUCACCCACGAGUCAGUGGUGGCCUUGUGGCCCCAGCCCAGACCCCGUCUGCCGGUGGCCUCACUGGGCUCUCGACGGUCUGAUGCCUUGGGACCCUCCCGACAGGGGACUGCACGUUCACGCCUGUCCCCCGGCCUCGGCUCAGGGGCGGCUCUUUCUGACCCAGGCCCCGGGGUGGCCCCUGGAGGGCAGGAGCCGGGAGCCGCUCUGGACUGCAGGUGGCUUCCUGGCAGAGGUGAGCAAGUGCCAGGAGACCCUGAGGCGGGAGAGGCCCUGGCCGCCAGUGCCCUCCCUCCUGCCCCGCCUCUCGCCACCCAACUUAGGGGACCGCGCUCUUGCCUCUGGCCCCGGGGACUCAGCUGUGGGCCGAUGUCAGGUCAGAGGUCCCCGUCACAGGGCACCAGCCCCAAACCUGUCCAGGCACUUCUUGCAGAAAUGAUUUGAUUUCCGCAGAGCACACCUGGCGGCCUGCCGGGCCUUUCCCACCGCCCGCUGGCUCCGGCUCCUCCAGGGGACUGUGGUCAGGAGACGGCUGCAGCUCUGUCCCCCUGGCUCAGCAGCAUCUCGAGCAGCAUCCAGAUUCUAGGGGCCACCCCUCCCACGCAGAGGACCCAGCCUGAGCGGAACGGAAGCCAGCCGCCACCUGGUUGGGAGCAGAGGACACAGGACUGACGCCCGGCACCCUGCCAUCCAGGCUCCCUGUGGAGAGGCCUGGCCCUUGCUCCUCAGCUGCGCACACACCAGGAGGAAGCCCCGAAGCCCCAGGAGUGUCCGGGAUGUGCCCAGAGACAGCACCUGCUGCCCGUCCUGCGCACCCUUUCCCGGCCUGCCCUCAGGGCAGCGUGUGGCGCCCCAGGUCUGCCCAGGCCACGGCACCUCCUCCGGCCCCAGCCCGGUGGCCAUCUCUGGGCUGUAGGAGGCCCUCAGGGCCAAGGCCCCGCACAGCCUGCUGCCCUCAGGGGACGCGCCUGGCUUCUUCCCCAUGUCACCGAGUGGCACCUUGGGCACGCCUUGGCAGGUGGGCUUUGAUCUGGGCUUUGAAGACGAGUAAAUGAGAUCCCUGGUGGGGGGGGGCUGAUGGACGGCCACACGUUGCGGAUGGACGCCCACCUGCUCUUGUCUUCUUUCCAAGCAUGGACUAAAAAAAAGGAGCAUUGGCCACUGUGGCAGGCUCUGGGGACAGAGGUGCUCAUGAGGCCUGUCCCUGCUCCUGGCAGCCGGUCGUCGAAGCCAGGGGACAGGUUCCACAGAGAGAUAGCAAAGACGUCACAGCUGCCUCCUGAGCCGGUGACAAUCAUCUCAAUUGGAGAGCAGAUGUCGACAGGCUGGAUCCGGGCUUGCCGUUCCUGUGGGUGUCUGCUGCCUUCUCAAAUCGGAUCACCUCGUGGUCACAAAAUGGCUGCCAGCACAACCAGGCUACAUGGGUCCACACUGAGUUGCAGAUCAGAAGCUGUGAACUUUGCUGUGGAGAGGCCCACGGUGCGGACCCAGACUCCCACAGAGCUGACCCUCAGCUCUGUCUCCACUGUUUCCUGGCCUGUGACUCUGGGCACGUGACAAACACUGGAGAACCCUAGCCCUGGUCUUGAUGUUGUGGUGAGAGGUAAUUGAGCAACGAGCAGUAAGCACGUAGCAGGGCCACCGGGUGUCGAAAGUGCCUGGGACACUGGCCCGGGUCACCCGCUGCAUCCUGAGCUGCCCCAUGACUGACUUGUCUUUUUUUUCCUUUUGAGCAUAGAUUUGUUUGUCUUUGAGGCGGACCUCACUAUGUUGCCCAGGCUGGCCUCCACCUCCUGGGCUUGAGCCAUCCUCCUGCCUGGGCCUCCUGAUUAGCUGGACCACAGGCGUGCGCUGGUUUGAUGUGGAAUCCACCUCCCACACAGCCCUGCUGACUCUUCCCCUGGCUCCAGCAGGGACAUACCGUCCCCCUCUGGCCUGGCGUAUCAGCUCAGUGCUGGGCCUUGGCCCCGAGCAGGCCCUGUGAGAACACAGAAGACACGGCCUUCCCGGAGGCUGGGGAAGAUGGCCUUUCCCACGAUGGCCCUGCAGCUGCUCCCGCCCAUGGGGAUGUGGAAUAGAGCCUGGAGCCACUGCAGCCGCUUUGCCACCAUGAGGGAGGCCCAUAUGAGAAUAAAGUUGCCACUACAGCGAGAGUGUAAAAGAAGUGGACCCGAAAGAAACCAGUCAUUUGGAUGUAGCUGAACUUCAAGGCUCGACCAGCCGGAAGCUCACCAGCUGUUAUAUUUCUCAGAUAUGAUGAGCAAAAAUAUCCCCCUCAAAAAUGUAGGUUCCUCCGAAUUGAUCUGCUACAGCCUA